GGAUAGCCCACGGCCUAUCAGCUUGUUGGUGGGGUGAUGGCCUACCAAGGCGACGACGGGUAGCCGGCCUGAGAGGGCGACCGGCCACACUGGGACUGAGACACGGCCCAGACUCCUACGGGAGGCAGCAGUGGGGAAUAUUGCACAAUGGGCGAAAGCCUGAUGCAGCGACGCCGCGUGAGGGAUGACGGCCUUCGGGUUGUAAACCUCUUUCAGCAGGGAAGAAGCGAGAGUGACGGUACCUGCAGAAGAAGCGCCGGCUAACUACGUGCCAGCAGCCGCGGUAAUACGUAGGGCGCAAGCGUUGUCCGGAAUUAUUGGGCGUAAAGAGCUCGUAGGCGGCUUGUCGCGUCGGAUGUGAAAGCCCGGGGCUUAACCCCGGGUCUGCAUUCGAUACGGGCAGGCUAGAGUUCGGUAGGGGAGAUCGGAAUUCCUGGUGUAGCGGUGAAAUGCGCAGAUAUCAGGAGGAACACCGGUGGCGAAGGCGGAUCUCUGGGCCGAUACUGACGCUGAGGAGCGAAAGCGUGGGGAGCGAACAGGAUUAGAUACCCUGGUAGUCCACGCCGUAAACGUUGGGAAUUAGGUGUGGGCGACAUUCCACGUCGUCCG
rnacentral:rRNA from 1 species